AACGCGUUGGCCCAAUUGAUUGAUGGUGCUUGCACCUGAUUGAUUUUGGUCGCCAACGAGUGGCGGACGGGUGAGUAACACGUAGGUAACCUGCCCAGAAGCGGGGGACAACAUUUGGAAACAGAUGCUAAUACCGCAUAACAGCGUUGUUCGCAUGAACAACGCUUAAAAGAUGGCUUCUUGCUAUCACUUCUGGAUGGACCUGCGGUGCAUUAGCUUGUUGGUGGGGUAACGGCCUACCAAGGCGAUGAUGCAUAGCCGAGUUGAGAGACUGAUCGGCCACAAUGGGACUGAGACACGGCCCAUACUCCUACGGGAGGCAGCAGUAGGGAAUCUUCCACAAUGGGCGCAAGCCUGAUGGAGCAACACCGCGUGAGUGAAGAAGGGUUUCGGCUCGUAAAGCUCUGUUGUUAAAGAAGAACACGUAUGAGAGUAACUGUUCAUACGUUGACGGUAUUUAACCAGAAAGUCACGGCUAACUACGUGCCAGCAGCCGCGGUAAUACGUAGGUGGCAAGCGUUAUCCGGAUUUAUUGGGCGUAAAGAGAGUGCAGGCGGUUUUCUAAGUCUGAUGUGAAAGCCUUCGGCUUAACCGGAGAAGUGCAUCGGAAACUGGAUAACUUGAGUGCAGAAGAGGGUAGUGGAACUCCAUGUGUAGCGGUGGAAUGCGUAGAUAUAUGGAAGAACACCAGUGGCGAAGGCGGCUACCUGGUCUGCAACUGACGCUGAGACUCGAAAGCAUGGGUAGCGAACAGGAUUAGAUACCCUGGUAGUCCAUGCCGUAAACGAUGAGUGCUAGGUGUUGGAGGGUUUCCGCCCUUCAGUGCCGGAGCUAACGCAUUAAGCACUCCGCCUGGGGAGUACGACCGCAAGGUUGAAACUCAAAGGAAUUGACGGGGGCCCGCACAAGCGGUGGAGCAUGUGGUUUAAUUCGAAGCUACGCGAAGAACCUUACCAGGUCUUGACAUCUUGCGCCAACCCUAGAGAUAGGGCGUUUCCUUCGGGAACGCAAUGACAGGUGGUGCAUGGUCGUCGUCAGCUCGUGUCGUGAGAUGUUGGGUUAAGUCCCGCAACGAGCGCAACCCUUGUUACUAGUUGCCAGCAUUAAGUUGGGCACUCUAGUGAGACUGCCGGUGACAAACCGGAGGAAGGUGGGGACGACGUCAGAUCAUCAUGCCCCUUAUGACCUGGGCUACACACGUGCUACAAUGGACGGUACAACGAGUCGCGAACUCGCGAGGGCAAGCAAAUCUCUUAAAACCGUUCUCAGUUCGGACUGCAGGCUGCAACUCGCCUGCACGAAGUCGGAAUCGCUAGUAAUCGCGGAUCAGCAUGCCGCGGUGAAUACGUUCCCGGGCCUUGUACACACCGCCCGUCACACCAUGAGAGUUUGUAACACCCAAAGUCGGUGGGGUA
rnacentral:rRNA from 1 species